rnacentral:sRNA from 12 species
UGCCUAGCCCUCAUAGCUGGUCUAUGAGAUAUGGCAGAAAAAACCUACCACAGGAUAGAGAGCUCGUCGUCAGAGCACCUGUGGUAGGUCAUAUCCCGAAGGGGUAUGGGUGGUCGCAAGACCAUC